rnacentral:rRNA from 1 species
GCCCUCUGGCUUGUUGUGCUUACCCCACACUUGACAGGGAGUUGCCCGUGGUAAGACCCCAAUAUUACACUUGUUAUAUAUACUAUAAUGUCUGAAUAAAUCACUUCAAAUGAAAUAAAACUUUCAACAACGGAUCUCUAGGCUCUUGCAUCGAUGAAGAACGCAGUGAAAUGCGAUAAGUAAUGUGAAUUGCAGAAUCUCGUGAAUCAUCGAAUCUUUGAACGCACAUUGCGCCCUAUGGUAUUCCGUAGGGCAUGCCUGUCUGAGCUUCAGCUCCCCCCAACUCAAACUUUUGUUAGUUUGGAUUACUUUGAAGGUGUAGCUUGUCAAAGCUGCUUUUCAGAAAUUCAUAGGCUGUACGCUUAUUCCUAGACCAGACGUAAUAAUAAUAAAACCGUCUUUUUGGGAAAAAUUGUGCUUGCCUCAACCCACCUAUUAUCUUUUUACUUGGGUGACCUCAGAUCAGGUAGGGAUACCCGCUGAACUUAAGCAUACAA